rnacentral:tRNA from 1 species
GCCGCUGUAGCUCACUUGGUAAGAGCAUUGGGUGCGCAAUCCGAAUGUCGCAGGUUCGGUCCCUGCCAGCGGCA